AAUUUUUGACAAUGGGGGAAACCCUGAUCCAGCCAUCCCGCGUGUAUGAUGAAGGCCUUCGGGUUGUAAAGUAAUUUUGGCAGAGAAGAAAAGGUAUCUCCUAAUACGAGAUACUGCUGUCGGUAUUUGUAGUAUAAGUACCGGCUAACUACGUGCAAGCUGCCGCGGUAAUACGUAGGGUGCAAGCGUUAAUCGGUAUUACUGGGCGUAAAGCGUGUGUAGGCGGUUCGGAAAGAAAGAUGUGAAACCCCAGGGCUCAACCUUGGAACUGCAUUUUUAACUGCCGAGCUAGAGUAUGUCAGAGGGGGGUAGAAUUCCACGUGUAGCAGUGAAAUGCGUAGAUAUGUGGAGGAAUACCGAUGGCGAAGGCAGCCCCCUGGGAUAAUACUGACGCUCAGACACGAAAGCGUGGGGAGCAAACA
rnacentral:rRNA from 1 species